rnacentral:rRNA from 1 species
GUAGGGUGCGAGCGUUAAUCGGAAUUACUGGGCGUAAAGCGUGCGCAGGCGGUUUUGUAAGACAGAGGUGAAAUCCCCGGGCUUAACCUGGGAACUGCCUUUGUGACUGCAAGGCUUGAGUGCGGCAGAGGGGGAUGGAAUUCCGCGUGUAGCAGUGAAAUGCGUAGAUAUGCGGAGGAACACCGAUGGCGAAGGCAAUCCCCUGGGCCUGCACUGACGCUCAUGCACGAAAGCGUGGGGAGCAAACAGGAUUAGAUACCCUGGUAGUCCACGCCCUAAACGAUGUCAACUGGUUGUUGGACGGCUUGCUGUUCAGUAACGUAGCUAACGCGUGAAGUUGACCGCCUGGGGAGUACGGCCGCAAGGUUA